rnacentral:rRNA from 1 species
GAAUUGGAAAUGGGCGAAAGCCUGAUCCAGCAAUGCCGCGUGAGUGAGGAAGGCCUUAGGGUUGUAAAGCUCUUUCGGCGGGGACGAUGAUGACGGUACCCGCAGAAGAAGCCCCGGCUAACUUCGUGCCAGCAGCCGCGGUAAUACGAAGGGGGCGAGCGUUGUUCGGAAUUACUGGGCGUAAAGGGCGCGUAGGCGGCCAUCUUUGUCAGGCGUGAAAGCCCCGGGCUUAACCCGGGAACUGCGCUUGGGACGGGAUGGCUAGAGUUCGGGAGAGGAGAGUGGAAUUCCCAGUGUAGAGGUGAAAUUCGUAGAUAUUGGGAAGAACACCGGUGGCGAAGGCGGCUCUCUGGACCGAUACUGACGCUGAGGCGCGAAAGCGUGGGGAGCAAACAGGAUUAGAUACCCUGGUAGUCCACGCUGUAAACGAUGUGUGCUAGACGUUGGGAAGCCUAGCUUCUCGGUGUCGCAGCUAACGCGGUAAGCACACCGCCUGGGGAGUACGGCCGCAAGGUUAAAACUCAAAAAAAUUGACGGA